rnacentral:misc_RNA from 1 species
CUAUUAUGAGGAUACGGAGGAGGCACAUCGCUGUGGCCUCGCCACGACGUUGAUGCCGACGGGUAGUAAGCUUCAGGAUUCUCGCUGUAAUGUUGAUUGUGUGUUCUAUUAUUGUAUUGUUGGGAAUGAGGUCUCAUGUCGCGGUGGUGGCCUGGGAGUGGGGGCUGACGGUACCCGUGAUCUUGGUGGCUGCGCAUUGUGUUGUGAUGACCUUGGGAGUAGUUCGGUCUGGCACCCGGUGGCAUUCGGUAAUCUACUGCUUGAUCUCGUGACCUAUAAUCUAUAUGAGGAGGUGGAGGAGGUUGGCCGGGGAUGUAGGGUUGUGCCGUAUGGGAGAGCGGUGGUGCCUGCCAAUUGUUGUGACCCUUACGAUCUCCCCCCCGAACCUGCAAGCUGUUAACUACAAGUCUAUGUGCUGCAUCCCCUAGUUGUCGACCCGAAAUCGCUCCAGGAGGACUUGGCCUUGCAUUCUCAUUGUAUCUUCCAUUGUCUUGAUGAUGAUGAUGCCUCCUACCAGAAUCUUCAUGCCAUAAAACAGGUUCAGGUUUCAUGUCACCCAAGCUCACAAUCUUUGGAGGAAAGUUCACCCCAGCAGGCGGUUGGGUGAUAUGCUUGUGUGCGUCCGGAAGUCGAUAUAUAGCACAUAUGACUUGGUUGUCUAUAAUAUCCUCCAAGCCCUCAACUGGAGACCUGAAUAUAGGAGGGCAGAGCUCUCCCGAACAUGGAG